GACGAACGCUGGCGGCGUGCUUAACACAUGCAAGUCGAACGGAAAGGCCCUGCUUUUGUGGGGUGCUCGAGUGGCGAACGGGUGAGUAACACGUGAGUAGCCUGCCCUUGACUUUGGGAUAACUUCAGGAAACUGGGGCUAAUACCGGAUAGGAGCUCCUGCUGCAUGGUGGGGGUUGGAAAGUUUCGGCGGUUGGGGAUGGACUCGCGGCUUAUCAGCUUGUUGGUGGGGUAGUGGCUUACCAAGGCUUUGACGGGUAGCCGGCCUGAGAGGGUGACCGGCCACAUUGGGACUGAGAUACGGCCCAGACUCCUACGGGAGGCAGCAGUGGGGAAUAUUGCACAAUGGGCGGAAGCCUGAUGCAGCAACGCCGCGUGCGGGAUGACGGCCUUCGGGUUGUAAACCGCUUUCGCCUGUGACGAAGCGUGAGUGACGGUAAUGGAUAAAGAAGCACCGGCUAACUACGUG
rnacentral:rRNA from 1 species